CGAAAGGAGAGCCUCUAGAGAGCAUCAGAUCCUGCGAUGGGACCACUGCAAAAGAAGACAACGAUGGGGGUCUUCCUGCCAGAAAGCAAUGGAGAUGGCAGAGUGCACAGAAAUACCUGCUCCUCGCCGUGCUCUGCUCCUGAUCGGAUGCUUACUUCAUGAAAAUGGUUUCUAUUUCUCAUUCUGAAACAGAAGGGGCAUCCUCAUGGCCAGGCACUGGGAGCAAGAGGUGGAUGAGGAGAAGACAAACUACUUUGCCCAAUGUAGCUGAUGAGUUUACACAGUGAAAAAGCCACCUGUUCGUCUUUGACUCAUUCAACAAAGAAGUCACGUCAAAUACUAACUUGAAAAAUUCCUGGUAAGUGAUUAAGCCCU
rnacentral:lncRNA from 1 species